rnacentral:rRNA from 1 species
UACCCGCAGCACAAGUGGUGGUCAUUAUUAUUGGGCCUAAAGCGUCCGUAGCUGGCGUGUUAGAUGCCUGGGUAAAUCGAUGCGCUUAACGUAUCGAAUUCCGGGUAGACCGGCACGCUCGAGACCGGGAGAGGUGUAGGGUACUCGGGGGGUAGGGGUAAAAUCCUGUAAUCCUGCGGGGAGGACCAGUGGCGAAGGCGCUACACUAGAACGGCUCUGACAGUGAGGGACGAAGCCCUGGGGCGCAAACCGG